rnacentral:rRNA from 1 species
GCCCCCGAGAACGGGAUAACUGCGGGAAACUGCAGCUAAUACCGUAUACAUUCCUGUGCUUCAAUGCGCGGGAAGAAAGAUUUAUCGCUCGGGGAUGGGCCCGCGUCCUAUCAGGUAGUUGGUGCGGUAACGGCGCACCAAGCCGAAAACGGGUAUCUGGUUUGAGAGCAUGACCAGACAGAGGGGGACUGAGACACGGCCCCCACUCCUCCGGGAGGCAGCAGCAAGGGAUCGUGCACAAUGGGCGAAAGCCUGAUGCCGCGGCGCCGCGUGAGGGAUGACGGCUUUCGAGUUGUAAACCUCUUUUCUCAGGGAAGAGAGAGGACGUCACCUGAGGAAUAAGUCACGGCUAACUACGUGCCAGCAGCCGCGGUAAUACGUAGGUGGCAAGCGUUGUCCGGAAUUACUGGGCGUAAAGGGUCCGUAGGCGGUUUGGUAAGUCUUCUGUGAAAGCUCCAGGAUCAACUUGGAGUAGUCGGGGGAAACUGCUGAACAAGAGACUGUCAGAGGCAGGUGGAAUUCCCGGUGUAGUGGUGAAAUACGUAGAUAUCGGGAGGAACACCAGUGGCGAAAGCGGCCUGCUGGGGCAGUUCUGACGCUAAGGGACUAAAGCGUGGGGAGCGAACCGGAUUAGAUACCCGGGUAGUCCACGCCCUAAACGAUGAAUGCUAGGUCUUCGGGGUGUUAAUUCCCUGUGGGCCGAAGGUAACCCAUUAAGCAUUUCGCCUGGGGACUACGGCCGCAAGGCUAAAACUCAAAGGAAUUGACGGGUCCCCGCACAAGCAGCGGAGCGUGUGGUUUAAUUCGAUGGUAAGCGAAGAACCUUACCUAGGCUUGACAUGUUUGGUGGUACCGAACCGAAAGGGGAGGGACCCUUCGGGGA